rnacentral:rRNA from 1 species
AGUGAACGCUGGCGGUAGGCCUAACACAUGCAAGUCGAACGGCAGCACAGUAAGAGCUUGCUCUUACGGGUGGCGAGUGGCGGACGGGUGAGGAAUACAUCGGAAUCUACUUUUUCGUGGGGGAUAACGUAGGGAAACUUACGCUAAUACCGCAUACGACCUACGGGUGAAAUCAGGGGAUCUUCGGACCUUGCGCGAUUGAAUGAGCCGAUGUCGGAUUAGCUAGUUGGCGGGGUAAAGGCCCACCAAGGCGACGAUCCGUAGCUGGUCUGAGAGGAUGAUCAGCCACACUGGAACUGAGACACGGUCCAGACUCCUACGGGAGGCAGCAGUGGGGAAUAUUGGACAAUGGGCGAAAGCCUGAUCCAGCCAUACCGCGUGGGUGAAGAAGGCCUUCGGGUUGUAAAGCCCUUUUGUUGGGAAAGAAAAGCAGCAGGUUAAUCCCCCGCUGUUCUGACGGUACCCAAAGAAUAAGCACCGGCUAACUUCGUG